GACAAAUUAAAAGAGAAGUUGCUUUAACCCGUAAAGAUCAAGUUGACAAGAUAAGAAUUGUGGAAGAUGGGAGACUCGACAGCAGUACUAUUGUAUAAAGAGGAGAACUAUGAGCCCAAACCUCCCACGAAAGUGACAAAGGACGAAGCAGACGUAAAGGCAAUUGGCCUACCUCUUGGAGCAAGGUCUCUUCAAGUUGGAUCAGAUGCAGGCGACUGGUACGUUUACCCUAAGAUUAACUUCCAAGGCCAACCUGGACGAGUGGAUCAGGGUAAGGACUACCCUAACCCCAAAGAAAUGGGUCUUCAUCAUCACCCUGUCAUGAGCUUGAAGCGGGUUGGAUCGUGAUGGGGAUACACAUCCAAGGUUCCGUGGAUGAAUUCUGUCAAACGAGUUUUGAAAGCAACCAACUAAGUCAAAGAAACUAAAGUAAAAGUAAAUCAA